rnacentral:rRNA from 1 species
GACGAACGCUGGCGGCGUGCCUAAGACAUGCAAGUCGAGCGGCCUGGGGCGGAAGCCCCAGGUGAGCGGCAGACGGGUGAGUAACACGUAGGUAACCUGCCCGCUGCAGUGGGAUAACAGCCCGAAAGGGCUGCUAAUACCACAUAAGCUCACGGCGGCGCAUGCCGCUGGGAGAAAAGGGGCAGAAAGCCCCGGCAGCGGAGGGGCCUGCGGCCCAUCAGGUAGUUGGUGGGGUAACGGCCCACCAAGCCGACGACGGGUAGCCGGCCUGAGAGGG